rnacentral:rRNA from 1 species
UACGGGGGGGGGCAAGCGUUGUUCGGAAUUACUGGGCGUAAAGGGCGCGUAGGCGGCUCACUAAGUCGGAUGUGAAAACUCUGGGCUCAACCCAGAGCCUGCAUCCGAAACUGGUGGGCUAGGGUGCUGGAGGGGAUAGCGGAAGUUCCUGGUGUAGCGGUGAAAUGCGUAGAUAUCAGGAGGAACACCGACGGCGUAGGCAGCGCCCCUGGCCGUUUCCUGACGCUGAUGCACGAAAGCUGGGGGGAGCAAACAGG